rnacentral:rRNA from 1 species
UACGUAGGUGGCAAGCGUUGUCCGGAAUUACUGGGUGUAAAGGGCGUGUAGGCGGAGCUGCAAGUCAGAUGUGAAAUCUCCGGGCUUAACCCGGAAACUGCAUUUGAAACUGCUGAGCUAGAGUACAGAAGGGGCAACCGGAAUUCCCAGUGUAGCGGUGAAAUGCGUAGAUAUUGGGAAGAACACCUGAGGCGAAGGCGGGUUGCUGGGCUGAUACUGACGCUGAGGCGCGAAAGCCAGGGGAGCAAACGGG